rnacentral:tRNA from 1 species
GCAGUGGUGGUUCAGUGGUAGAGUUCUUGCCUCGUAUGCAGGAGACCUCAGUUUGAUUUCCAGCCAAUGCA